AAGAAAAUCUCUUGCUGCACUGUCAAUUUCUGUUUGAAAGCUGUUAUCUUAAAAAUUUAGUUAAAAUAAAAACAACGUAAUGGAAUUUACUAAAAGGACACUGCAAAAGCUGCAGUGUUUACUAGUUACUAGCAAAUAGGCUGGCAAACAGCCCUCAUGACACUGCUGCUCAAAGCACCAGCCUAGAACACUGGCUGGACAAGAGUUAACUUGAGUUCCAGCUUAUGUAAGGCUGAAGAAAGCUGGAGGCCCACAUACAUAUUUGCCACAGAACUGCUUCAUGUCCCAACAUUUGGGUUCUUUGUUCUGCAAACCAAGAGCAGAAUGGAGAAGUCUGCUUGACCCAAAGGAAUCGUGCCUGCAGACAUCAUCUCAGUUGUCAAGAGUAGUUCCUCUGCCUUCUCAGGAAUGAGAAGUGACACCUGUACUGGGCCUGGGCUCCCACCCUGCUCUGCAUCGUUCUGUGACUGAAGAACAAGACCAUGCAGGGCUCCUCCCCGUGAGUCAUCUCAUCCCUCAGCUCCCUCAGGGAGCAAAUCUGCCAUCAUUCUGAUCUCUCCACCUCACUAAUGCAGGAAGAGUAUCCACAGCCCUGCCUCUCCUGCCACAGUAACAAGCCUGCAGACAGGCUACAAACUGAAAGAAGCCAACACCGUUAAUCAUAUCUUGACUAGAAUGUGAACUUUUACAGACCAUCCUGGCAGGAUACUUGGUUGAAAGAUCUCCACUUGGUGGAUGUUCUGUUCUCUUCUGCUUGUCUGACAAUUUACACUGGGAGCAGAUCUACACCAGAACACGCAGCCUCAGUGUGAGUGCCCUAGAGCUCAUACCUGGUGCGGAGCUGGAUGCCGAAUGCUCCAGGGUAUCCUGUGUUCCUUCAAUGUUCUCCUUGUUCUCUGCCUGUUUCUUCAGUGUUCUUGUCUUGGAGGGAAGCAUGGGCAACCGGGGCAGGUAAGGAACAAUGGAUGAGGAGGAGGCUGUUCUUCCAAGCUCCUCUGCUACCUCUGUAAGGAGGAACAGGAAGUGGAAUAGUUGGAACAAAUACAGAAGAAGAAAAUAAAAUAUGGAUCUCUACUGCAAUCCCAGACCAGUAAGAAGACGUGACUGAGAACGCAAGAAGUUUGUAAAUUUAGCUUUUUGUAAAUUCAGAGGUGCUUAGGGUAAAACACGUUGUACAAAUAGAAGUCAAACUAACUUGCAUCUUUGUAAAUCCAUCCAAAAAUGGUGGUAGGGUCUGCACAAGUGAGGCUCUGGUACAUAUCUAGCUCUUUGCUGGGUUAAGGUUGCUCAAGUGCUAAAGUUUACAAUGAAUGCAUUUUCUUCCCUUCUAAAUAAGGUGCCUCUUGUUAAUUGCCUCAAAGUCGCAUCCUUUCUGACUCUGGACAUAAGCUGCUUUGAGGCAAAACACUGCACAUCUCUAUUAGAAAUGAAGAUUUCAUGUUUCCUCCUCAAUAUCAACACAAGGUAUAUGAUUUAAAAGCACUAACCAAAAAACCCCUCCUGUACAGCCCCAGGUUAUUGUUUGUUUGUCCCUUGAUGUGCCUGUUACAGAUCCUCCCUGGUAGAAUUUCAUCUGGUGUGAUUUUUCUAUAGCAGGGAAGUGCGUGGCUUUUCAUACUUGAUUUCAGAAUUAGAGAUGCUGAAACAAUUUGGGCUCCUUUGCCUCGUAUCACACCUCUCCUAGCUGACCAGAUUUGAAAGUUGAGUUGCAUAGAUUUUCUCCUAAAAAAAUAGCUAAGUAGAAAAUCCAGAUAUUGAGGCAGACUUUUUAAGUAAAAGCUGACAGUGGUAUUUCACUACACUAAUUUCUGCAAUCAGAAACAGAAUGUGGCAUGUGUGCAUCUUUCUCUCUCCCCUCGCAUCACUCGCUAUUCCUAACUCCUUUAGUCUGGGAGGCUUCCUCUAGUAAAGGAGACAAUCUUCUUUAGGCAAACUCCUUGUUAUCUUGGUAUUCAAGUUAAUUACUGUGCUGUCUCUGCACUGACACAUCUAAAGUUUAUUCAGUAUUUGUGCUAGGAGUAAGACAUGUAUUUCCAGACAUAAGGAUAAGAAGUAAAGGACGAAGCCUCAUCACAGCCUCCACAGCAAGCAGAUAAGCUUUGAGAGCCUGUGCUUAAGAGACAGCACUCUGGGGGAUAAACACUACCACUGCUCAGAAACAAAACAACAGGUGCUCUCACCCUCCGAGAUGCUCGAGUCGUGGAACAUGGUUUCAAAAGCCUGGUGGGUCUCAGCAAAGGAAGGUCGGUCUGGUGGGUUCCACUUCCAACCUGCAGUGUGAGAAAGCAGGGUAAGUCUGUAACAGGUGGGAGAUAAUUUGUUAUUCUGUCUUUCAUUAGUAGAUUAAAAAUUUGUUAUGCAGUGUUAGAGAGCUCUUUGUGGCAGAUGCUAAGCAGCACACUUGGAGGAUGAGUUUGUGCGACCCUGUCAGCAGCUUGUCUCCUGCAGAGGUGCUGUGUUUGCUGAGUAAAAUUUCCUUCUUUUUUGGUGAUUCCAUAUUAAGAGUCCUGCUUACAAGUGACAGUACAAUUUGCCACAAAAGCUACCUAGCUGUAAUCAGUGAUGACAGUUUUUGAGAGUUCUUGUUCCCUGGAGACCAGACUCACUUUGCAUCACUGACCAGGUAUGUCUCAGGUGACAGGGACUUUUCCACAUAAGCUAACAAAAUGGCAUCUAAGAAGUAAGGACUCAGGAGCUGACUACAGAUUUCUCCUACCCCUGCCAGGCUUUGUUCCCCAAACUGGAAGAAGAUACUCACAGGCCCUCAUCAGUUCAUAAACCUUUGGAGGGCAUCCCUCCGGUUGUUCCAUCCGGUAGCCCUUUUCCAGCAGAUCAUACACCUGAGAGAGAUCAAUGCCUGGGUACGGUGACAUCCCAUAGGUAGCAAUUUCCCAUAACAGCACCCCAAAGGCUGCAGAAGGAAGAAAAUAAAACUCCUGGUCACAAGACUGCCCAUAUGGUAUGCUGCUCUUACAUUUUGGCCUUGGCUGCAGCUAGAGGCAGAACCUGUCUGCUGCAGAUUCUUCAGGCCAGCCCUAGGUGAAGACAUUAACGAUUUGUGAAGUUGUGACCUGGUAUGUUCCUCCCAUGGGUUUUCUGCCCAGGCCAGAACACACUUUACUCUCCAGGGUGGCAAAUUAAAAACCAGAAUGAAACAGAACAUAACAGUGAAGUGGAGUUUUCUUACCCCACACAUCUGAUUUGAUGGAAAAGGUGUUAUAGGCCAGGCUCUCAGGAGCAGUCCACUUGAUUGGGAACUUGGCUCCAGCGUGAGCUGUGUAGGUAUCUCCAGUCAUCAGCCUGCUUAAGCCAAAGUCAGCCACCUUCACCACGUGGUUUUCUCCAACUAAGCAGUUCCGUGCUGCCAGGUCCCUGUAUGAAGAAGAAAGCACACAGGGCGUUUAAACACAGUCCUGUCUUUGUGGAAUUUGUCCCUUUCUGCUUCUCAAUGCCAUCUUACCCACCUGUGAAUGAAGUUCUUCUUCUCCAGGUACUCCAUGGCAGAGGAUAUCUGAGUGGCCAUAUAGAGCAGCACAACAGCACUCACUUCCUCCCGGUUGCACUCCCGUAAAUAGUCAAGCAGGUUCCCGUAUGGCAUGUACUCUGUCACGAUGUAAAAGGGGGGCUCCAGGGUACACACACCUAGCAGUGAGGAGAAGGCAUGUGAAUAAAGCUGCUGGUUCUUCCUUAGCUUACCAGUAAGCCUGAUUUAAUUCCCAUUUCUUGCAGUCUCUAACAAUGAGAGUUUCUCUGAAAAUCCAGGCCUUUCGUCUACAAGAGCUGAUCAGUGCAGCCCAGCUUAAAGUUCAUUGCUUCUAUUUACAUAUCCAUCCACGGAUGAUGAGAAACCUGUCUACCAAAGGUCCCCUUUUCCUAUAUGUUAUGCAUAAAGGAUGUGUACUAUACAUAUACUUACCAUAUGCUGUUGUUUGGAAGGUUACAGAAUGGAACGGGACAUAUUCUGAACACCCAUUAUUUACUUUCCUUUCCCUCUUCUCUUAAAGCUGAAGAGUGGCCAACUGGAAGUGGGUACCUGUCAGCGGGCCAGGUAUCCAGGCUGGAAUGUCACGACAGAGUAAUGGGAAGCACUCCCGUGUAUGCUAGUGGGCUUGGCUUGACAGCUUUGCUCCCAAAGACAGCAAAAGUCCAGAUGGAGUUAACCACCAGUAAAGCUUUAAAAUGUCUCAUUAAGAAUCUUUGUAUGUACUUCUGCAAGGCUACUUCAACUGAGUAGAAGAGGAAUGUGACUUCACUGAUAACUGAAUCCAGGAGAAUGGCUAAAACCAAUGGCACAGUUUAACAGGAGGUUGAUACUGCUAACUUUACACAGUGCCCCAAGAGCAAAGUCAUGUCACUAAUGUGACAAUAAAUUUGAUGUUUCAUUUAGAACUGGCAUCUCAGCUCAGCUUUGCUAUACGAAGGAGAAAGCAGUCAAAAAUACCGCCCCAUAACCUGACCUGAUUCAAAAAAUCAUGUCAGUAAAUCUGCCACUCUUUUUCAACAAAAUGGACACAUUUUGGCAGAAACCUGAAUAAGAACAAAAAGAUCAAGGUAUUUCACUAACCUAAUAACUGCACUAGAUUUGGGUGCUUGAUUUCCUUCAUCACAGCAGCUUCUUUCAAGAACUCUUCCACCUCCAUGGUAUCUUCCUAGACAAACACAGAAGAGAAGAUUUAUCUUCACGACCAAGGUCUGCUCAACGCUACACAUUCUAGCUGAAUGGUAUCCUUAUUUCCAUUCUGAUGUUUUGGCUUUUACUAAAGCAAAAAUGUCCUAACAGCCCUGAAAAGCUGGCCUGCAGCACAGCCAAAUAACAGAUGUGCAGCCCCUGGAAAGCACUAGGUUCUACCAACUAGGUAUCUACUGUGGCUGGAGAAAAGAUGACUCUGAAAGUCACUUUGUUUUGCCUAGCUGUAAAAAUUAAAUUUGAAAUCUUCCUUCUUUAGGUGUGUGUUGGGGUGGGGGGGUACCUGAAAUGUUAACAUUCAACAGUGGUCACAUUGAAACAAACAGAAGGCUCUCAGAGAAAUAAAAAUGGAGGAGCUAAAUUUUUCCAGAAAGAUGGGAGAAGUUGUAGGAACGCACUUCCAACACCUUUGAUUUCUUACAGCUUCCACAGCUUUUCUGAGGGAAGGGAAGCAGAAGUGGUAACCGUGCCUCCAGGCCUGCCUGGGACACGCAGUUCCUGCAGGAGCCCAUUGGGCCGAAAUUCCAAGCUGUUUCUAAGCUCCCUGCACUGCUGCAAGCUCAACAAGCUAUCUUUGUUCUGCAAAGCUGCUCUCAAAGCAUGGAUUUUAUACAGAUCAGCACGCUCCAUUUUCAGACAGUCCUAUCAGUGGGUGGUAUAACUGAAGAAGUUACAAUUUCCUUCUACUUAUCAUCAACGCUGACCAAAUUAACAGCGUGCAACAAUCUGAUAACUCACCUUUAAUGUUUUCACAGCCACGGUGAGGUUGUAUUUCUUCCAGACACCAACAUACACCUCGCCGUACUGCCCUCCCCCGAGUUUGUGCUUCAUGGUGAUGUCAGUCCGCUCCAUCUCCCACUUGUCGUGGAUGGGGGACACUCCAUACACAGUGGGCUUAUUGCACUUGGGUGCUGGGUAAUGCAGAGUCGUCACCAGUCCAUCUGCUACCGUGGAGUGAUGGUGCACUAGUUCUGCUAGCGUGCUGAAACGGCUUUCUGCUGUCACGUACACCUGUCAGGAACGAAUCAGGAAUCUGCUUAGGUAAAGGCUGCUGAGAGCUUUCAGUUGUGCUGGAAAAUGGAUACAGUAAAAACAUUCCGGCAGAUUUGGAAGAGAAAACAAAAACGGUAACAGAACCAGAUGUUAAGAGCACUUGUUCUCAGUUGUGUUGAGCAAAUGAAUGUUCCUCUGCGCAAUUUUCACCUGCAGAAGGCAGCCAGAUUUCCUUUCCCCACAGCGCCGUGCAGAAAUCCUUACCUUUCCAUCGGAGGUGGUGUUGAUCCUGUAGUGGUAAACACGUCCCUCGUACCUGAGCGAGAUGGACAGCUGCCCUGGGCUGCUCUCGCUCUCACGAACCAGGAAGCUGCCGUUGAUGAGGCUGCUCAACAGAUACUCUGCUGCGCUGCGUGACACCGGCCCGUGAUACCACGAGUGCUUCUCCAGGCUGUUCACUGGUGUGAUGUAGUUGCUUGGUACCCAGCCCUGCCCAUUCUUCGAACGUACCUCACUCCAUUCACCAUUCUGGUUGUAACCCAGGACUCGCAACUUCUCACCUACGAGCCAGGAGGGAAGAAAGCAAAGGAAGCACAAUAUGAUCUACUGGGUCUCAUUAAGAGACAUUCCCCACCAGCUGACUAACCCUUGUUUGUUGGUGUACGCAAAGUAUUUAUGAGUAAAGUUUCAGCCAAAUUUACUGCAAUGUAAA